rnacentral:tRNA from 1 species
GCCCGUAUAGCUCAGCGGCAGAGCACCGCUCCCACACAGCGGGUUGCCCUGGUUCGAGUCCAGGUGCGGGUAC